rnacentral:lncRNA from 10 species
GUAGGCUGCGCAGUGUCUGGGAUGAUGUCAUGGCUCCGUCUUAAAGGGGACGCGGGCGGCAGAAAGUGGAGCUGGGCUGGUGUGCGCGCGGCCGGAGUCUGUGGAGCUGGAAAUUCACCGGUCCAGGAAGACGUCUUUCCCGCGUCCCAGCACCGGUCCAGAAAGACGUCUUUCCCGCGUCCCAGCACCUCGGGCCACGCUCCUUCGUGAGAGCGCCCUCUCCAAGGAGGCCGGCCCUGGAUAUUUCACCCAAAAUAUUUAUUUUUUCUUUUUUUCUAGGCUCCUGUUUUCCUAAUAGCAUGAACAGCCCCCCCGUCAGCUCCUACCCCUUGGUCUCUGACCUGUUCCUCCUCCGAGGUGACCUCUAUCCUGAAUUUUGAAAACAUAUUAGUAUUGCCUGUUUCUGGACUUUGUGCAGAUGAAGUCAUUGAAGAGGAAAUGUGGACUCAGGUGUGUAUGGAGGGAAGAUGUCUUGCAAGCCCAAGGAGAAGAUGGCCAUCUGAGCCCACGUCCUGGAACAGAGACUUCCCUCACAGCCUCAGAAAGAACCAGCCCUGCUGACGUCUUGAUCUCAGACCUCCAGCCUCCAGAACUGGGAGACGAUUCAGUCAGCAUCUACACAACACAGGGUUGAACUGUGCGGGUCCACUUCUAUGCAGAUUAUUUUCUUUUUUCUUUUUUGAGACAGAGUCUCGCCCGGUUGCUCAGGCUGAAGUGUAGUGGUGUGAUCUUGGCUUACUGCAGCUUCCACCUCCCAGGUGCAAGUGAUUCUCCUGCCUCAGCUUCCCAAGUAGCUGGGACUAUGGGUACUCGCCACCACACCUGGCUAAUUUUUGUAUUUUUAGUAGAGAUGGGGUUUCACCAUGUUGGUCAGGCUGGUCUUGAACUCCUGACCCCAAGUGAUCUGCCUGCCUUGGCCUCCCAGAUUGCUGGGAUUACAGGUGUGAGCCACCGUGCCCGGCCCUAUAUAACUCUUUGUGCAAGUUUUUACCCCUAAAAGAUAUCUGCCAUCUCAGCCAUGGAACAGACACUGUAAGAACAUGAAGGCUCAAGGGCAGGGCUGGCUACAUAAUUUGUGGGACCCAUUACAAAAUGAACAUGGAGAAAAAACUAGAAAAAAGUGUAGUACAAGGUACUAUAAUAGAUUUUUCCUUUGAAAACAGUUUAAUACUUAUAAAAUGUAAUAGAGGGAAAUAGUGACACGUGAGUAACAAAAUGGGCGUAUCAAUUGGUCUAUGCUAUUUUUGGUGUUAUAAUUUUACCUAAUAUAAUAAGCAGCAACACUUUGUUAGUGAGACGGGCUUUCACCAUGUUGGCCAGGCUGGUCUGGAACUCCUGACCUCAGGUGAUCCGCCUGCCUCAGCCUUCCAAAGUGCUGGGAUUACAGGUGUGAGCCUCUGCGCCCGGCUGUGAUGUCUUGAUUGAUCAUAGGAUUUUUCUGGCUAUUCUAGCUACUUCCAAUUCGCUUCAGCCAAUUUAGUUGAAGUUUUAUCACUUGUGACUUCAGAGUCCUGGUUAAUAUCCUGUUGCCCUCAGGACAUGCAGGAUGGAGGAAGGCACCAGGGAGCCGAGGGAAGUGAGCAGAGAGGCAGUCACUUCAGGGCCACCAGCAUAGCCCCCGUCACUGUCCACAGACACAGGCCCUUCCCCUUCUCAUGGUUGAGCAGGCUCCACCUCACUUCCGUGUAUGACUUCAUAGACCGUUAGGUUCCGUGGUACCCUGGAGUCCACAGCUGCUGAAUCUGAAGGGCCAUCAGAAGACUGGCUUCUCCAUGAUGGUUUAUGGACUAAGGCAAAGAUGAGCAGAGCCAUGGCCCUCUUCUUUGUUCUCUGCUGGAUCCAAGAGUCGGGGGUCUCCCUAUGUUUCCCAGGCUGGCCUCGAACUCCUGACCUCAAGUGAUCCUCCCACCUCAGCCUCCCCGAGUGCUGGGAUUAAAGACGUGAGCCACGGCACCUGGCCUGAAUUUUCCUCAAAUUCAAAAAAUCCUGAUGAAGGUUUGGCUAAAAUCUUUGGUGAGUUACCCCACUCCCUGUGGAACCUCAGGCUGGAUUUGAAGAGUUGCGUGCAUGGUCCUCAUUGUCUCCCAGGUAACCUGUUCCCGCUGCUGUGAAGGGAAGGCAGGUGCUCUUCCUUGAGGCUAGAAUCUGUCUACGUGUCACAGUCUCAGGAAAUUAAGCAAAACAGAUGAUAAACACCUCAAAAGGACCCUACUGAGCAUCAGUGGAGCAGAGCAGGGCCAUGUGGGACUGCGGCGUCAGAUGCCACCUCACACUAGCUGUGACACACCUGCCUCGCCAGUUUCUGCUCUGAGGCCCCAAAGCCGAGCUGAACCUCCUCCAGGGGUUCUCAGCCCUAACUGAGCAUGAAAACCCCUGGGGCAAUCCUCUUUUUAACAAUUGAGACAUUCCACACACACCCCACAUCAGAUUUUGGGGUGUGGGGAUAGACCUUCACAUUUGUAGUUUUCUAACCCUCCAGGGGACACUAGGCUGAGACUCAUUGGUCUCCACUCUGAACCUUCCACUGAACAUGUGAGAAAAACUAAGGCCCAGGGAAGUCUUUAGCAGAGAGCUGAGACGGAGAAAAGGGUUCUGAACCACAGCUGUCUGCUGAAGGAAGCUGUCCAAAGGCCAGUGAAGUCUCUCCUGAGGGUGCCUGGGCUGUGCAUCAGGAGUGAAGGUUGAGGGUCACCUUAGGUGUGAGAAGGAGCAACUGGGAGAGUGGCGCUGAUGCUUCCCCCCGGGUUAGGAGGCAUUUGGAUCACAGAGCGAUGCCUGUUCAUUCCUGCUUGCAAGGGAGCAGAUCUCUCGACACCCGAUGGGCCUCUAUUCCGUUCCGGCAGCUGUCCGUGUCAGGAGCGCUGGGCUUGCUCCUCCCCACGGGAGCCAUCACAGAGGCCUCGGGCAGUCUGCAUAGACAACUGCCUGGCAGGUGACCAGGAGGGGAUGCAUGAGCAGAUGCAGGUAGCACUCGCAGUCCCCCUAGCUGUGCCCUCAGCACCUGCUGUCUAGGAGGCAGAAGCCUUGUUCUCGGCCUUGCAGGUGACCCCAGUGUCUCUGAAUUCGGCCCCAUAUGUGUAGGAGGGGAGUGAUUGCAUCUGAAGAUGGGAGUCUGGUUGGGGGUUUGGGAAGCUCCCAUCACCCCUCAAGAGUCCACUGACCAGCCCAGCUCACACCAGGUGGGCCUUGGCACUGGAGGCCACGGCUCAACUCUGCAGUUCCCUCUGGGCAGCAUUUCCAGGGACUCGUAGGUCAGCAUGGUCAUCAAGGACAGGUGGUGAGAGCAGCUCCUCAUUGUCCUGGUGACCCCGAUGGUUCAUUUUCUGGUGUCUCUGUGGUGAGCUCCUGUUACAUCAAGCGAGUGGAAACCACCGAGGACCAACAGCCCUGGAAAUGCACUGAGAAUGCAGGAUGAGUGGGCUUUGUGAGGACUGUUUUCUGUGACUUAGCAAGGAAAGCCUGGAAGGGAAAGUAAAACUGCUUCUUCCCAGGGAAGCCAGAAACCUGAGAACUUAAAAGGGAAGGAGAACUUAAUAUAUUUCAAAAAUGUAACCCUUGUGAAUUAGCAACAGCUUUAUAAACAAAGAGAUUUCCGAGCUUAUAGAAUCUAUUCUGCUUUGUUUCUGCCCCCAUGGCUCCUACCCCUGUUUUUGUGGGUACAAUUUUCAUAUAGAACAUUUUUACACAAGCUUCAAAACUCUCUGAGGACAGCUUUCCCCUUUGUGUCUGUCGGGUCCCAGGCAGUCACAUCCCAGGAAGUGCUGGGGUUGGGCUCCUUGCUCCACAUCCUUCUUCAGUGGCACGAAGCGUGGGGUGGAGUGUGUGAGUCAUGUGUGAUCUUGGUGUGGGCUAUGGCUGGUCUGCAGCACCCCUUCAAUGACUGCUUCAAGGGCUUUUCAUGAUGCUUGUAGCUCAUGAGCUAGUGUUUCCUAGAUGCUGUUUCCAGGUGUCUUGCAUGUCACACACUGGCCUACCAGGGCUGGAGUGAGAUCAUGAGCGCCAGAUUGUUGGUGAAGGAAGUUGACAGAGACAUCGAAUGUCGGUGAACAGGAGUGACCUUGGGUCUCAAUAAAUACUGUGGUCAACUGAAUCCAGAACCCACCCUUACCAGCAGGGCCCACUUCUUCCCCAGCAGGCCGAGCUCUUCCCCUCCUGUCUUCCCUGGCCCUUGCUUUGUAGCUCUGUGUGGCUGUGUCAUGUCUGGUUGUAUCUGUAUAUACUUCUGCCUCUCCCGCUAUCUAGAUGGCUCGGGGAGGCACACCACACACCAGGUCACCUUCCUCUCUGAACCCCCAGCACCUCAUACUGUUUCUGUGCAGAGAUAAGGCUGGGUGAAAGCUUGUGUGAAUGAUCUGAAGUCUUCUACUCUAGGCCAGUCUCCAGGAGCAUUAUGAUCUUUAGGAGGGUGGGCUUGGUUCCUCUGUACAAUAAUGGGUCAUAAAACUGAGUGGUCAAGAUCAUCCCGGUGAGGGCAGUCCGUGUGUUGCCAUAGUUGCUGUACCGGUUAAGAAUGCACCUGGCUGCAAUUUCCUGAAAACCUGACGUAUAGUGGCUUAAACAAAGAGUGGUUUAUUUUCCUUCUGUCAUAGCAAUCUGGGGGAGGCCACUGUGGCUUUGGCGCAGGAGGUCGGGAAAGGCCCGCUUCUCUGAUAUCAUUGGGGGCCUCCCCAGUGCUUGUGUGGCAGAAUGACAAGAGGAAGAAGAAGGAGAAUUAUGGCACUGAGUAUCAUGAGAUUUGGGGUCAUAUAUCUUUAGUGGGCGGUGUUUGCUGCCCCAAAUGUCUCAUGCCAUUAAAAUGUUCUGGAAAUGAUUUAGGUAGUUGGAGUUUCCUUCCCAAAGACAAGGCAUUUACAGCAUGAUGUCCAAUAUCCAUUGAGUUUGUGUCAUGCAUUCAUUGUAUUCAUAGUCUGCUUUAGGUACUUAGCAAAAUAUUGCUGAUAUUAACAUGCCUUUGUUUGCUUCACUGGAGAUGAAAUUGUGCUCCAAGUGUUUUCCAAGGUUCCGUAUGACCCAUCAUUUGAUGAAACAAGAACAGCAGUCAGAUCCAUUACAAAGAGAGACACACAAAAAAACUAUGUGAAAAUGAGCUUAGCCCCUGGUGUUGUGUUGGAACUUCAGAUGCUUGCAGACACUUCAUGAAUGCUCUGUGACACUCAGAAUAGGCUAUUCCCAACAGAAGAGCUUGAACAAUGCUGCAUUUGCAUCAGGUUCAAAUGAGCGAGAGGAACAUUUGGCUAAAAUAUUUGACACUUAAGGAAACUUUUAUCAGGUCAUUGACUAACUUCAGAGAUAAGAAAACAGAAAAUUCAGCACUUUCACACAACAAGAAGUACGCACUUUGCAAAACUAGUUUGGAAAAGUUACAAAAAGAUGGCUUCAGCCUUCAAUAAGCAAAAAUCAACAAUCACUGAAAGAGAGGAUUAGAUUUCCAGAGUUAUCAAAAUGUAAUACACAGAAUGUCCAUCUCUCAACGUAAAAUUAUAAAACAUACAAAGAAACAGGAAAGGAUGGCUCAUUCACAGGAAAAAGGAAUUUGGCAGAACUUGUUCCUGAGGAAACCUGGGAAUUAAAAUUAUUACACAAGAUGUUAAAUCAACCAUCUUCAAAAUGUUCACUGAACUAAAGGAGACCAUGAACAAAUAACUUAAGGAAAUCAGGAAAACAAUGUAUAAAUAAAAUAAUAUCAAUAAAGAGAUAGAAAUUAUUGAAAAGAGCCAAAGAAAAGUUCUAGAGCUGAAAAGUGUAAUAAAUGAAUACUUGGCACAUGCCUGUAAUCCCAGAACUUUGGGAGGCCGAGGCAGAUGGGUCAUGAGGUCAGGAGAUGAAGACCAUCCUGGCUAACACGGUGAAAUCCCGUCUCUACUAAAAAUACAAAAAAUUAGCAGGGCGUGGUGGUGGGUGCCUGUAGUCCCACCUACUCGGGAGGCUGAGGCAGGAGAAUGGCAUGAACCCAGGAGGCAGAGCUUGCAGUGAGCCGAGAUCGCGCCAUUGCACUCCAGCCUGGGCAACAGAGCAAGACUCUGCCUCAAAAAAAUAAAAAAAAAAAGAAAGGAUCAGCACACUUGAAGAUAAGACAUUGAAAGUAUCCAGCCUGAGAAGCAGAAAGAAAAAAAAAAAAGAAAAUGAAUUGAACAUGUGGGACUUGUGGGGCACCAUCAAGCAUACUAAAAUAUACAUUAUGGGAGUCUCAGAAGGGAAAGACAGAGAGAUAUGAAGACAAUGUUUGAAUGAAGAAUAGCCCCAAACUUCCUGAAUAUGUUGAAAGACAUGAAUGUGCACAUUCAAGUUACUCAAUGAACUCCAAGCAGAAUACUCAGAGAUUCACAGUGAAACACAUUAUUAGCAAAUUGUCAAAAUCCAGACACAAAGAGAAUCUUGAAAGCAGUAACAGAUAAGUGACUCAGCAUAAAAGGAACCCUCAAUAAAAUUCACCACUCAUUUCUCCGCAACAACCACAGAGGGUAGGAGGCAGUAGGAUGGCACAUUCAAAGUUCUGAAAGAAAAAUAAUGUAAUCAGCAGGGCAUGGUGGCUCAUUCCUGUAAUCCCAGCACUUUGGGAGGCUGACGUGGGCAGAUCACUUGAGCCCAGGAAUUCGAGACCAGCCUGGGCAAUACGGCAAAACCCUGUUUCUACUAAAAAAAAAAAAAAAAAAAAAUUAGUUGGGUGUGAUGGUGCACACCUGUAGUCCCAGCUAUUCAGCACACUGAGGUGGGAGGAUCACCUGAGCCUGGGAAGUCCAGGCUGCAGUGAGCUGAGAUUGCCCCACUGCAUUCCAGCCUGGGUGAUGGGAGUGAGAUCCUUUCUUGGAAAAAAAAAAAAAAAGUAAAAAGGAAAAUACUGUCAAGCAAGAAUUCUCUAUCUGACAAAAUUAUCUUUCCAGAAUAAAAGAGAAACAGAACAUUUUCAGGUAAACAAAAGCUGAGAGACCCGCCUUAUGAGAAAUGGCAAAGAGAGCCCUUCAGGCUGAGAUGAAGGGACAUUUAACAGUCACUUGACAUAAGAAAAAAAAAAAUGCUGGUAAAGGUAACUACUAGCUCUAAAAGUCUUAUUGUACUUUAGGUUUCAUCUAUAACUUCUGCCUUUUAAAAAUAUGAUUUAAAAGGUGAAUGCAUGAAAUAAUAAUUACACAUCUGUUAAUGGUCAUACAGUGUAUAAAGAUAGACUCUGUAAUAACAACAAUAUAAAGGGAAGGGAAUAGAGAUAUAUGUGUGCAGAGUGUUUGUAUACUAUUGAAACUAAGUUGAUACUAUUCAAGCUAAGUUGUUAAAAAUUUAAGAUACUAGGUGUUUAAGUUUAAACAAAUUUUAACUAGUUUAGGUGUUUCCAAGGUAACCAGUAAAUAAUAACUAAAAAAAUAUGGAACAAAAGAGUAAAAGAAAGAGUCGAAGCCAGGCAGGGUGGCUUAUGCCUGUAAUCCCAGCCAUUUGGGAGGCUGAGGUGGGGGGAUCACCUGAGGUCAGGAGUUUGAAACCAGCCUGGCCAACAUGAUGAAACCCUAUCUCUACUAAAAAUACAAAAAUUAGCCGGGCAGCAGGUGCCUGUAAUCCCAGCUACUCGGGAGCCUGAGGCAGGAGAAUUGCUUGAACCCAGGAGGCGGAGGUUGCCGUGAGCCAAGAUCACGCCAUUGCACUCCAGCCUGGGCAACAAGAGUGAAACUCUAUCUCAAAAAAAAAAAAAAAAGAAAAAAAAGAAAAAGAAAUAAAGAGUUGAAUGGAACAUUAUAAAGAACCAACUUUUAAAAAAAGCAGUAAUGGGGGAAUGACGAGCAAAAGAAAACACACACAAAACACAAACCCCUAAAUGACCAAAAACACAACACACAUAUACACAACAAAUAGCAAAAUGGCUGAGCCUGGUGGCUCACGCCUGUAAGCCCAGUACUUUGGGAAGCCAAGGUGGGCAGAUCACUUAAGCUCAGGAGUUCAAGACCAGCCUGGCCAACAUGGUGAAACCCCGUCUUUACUAAAACACAAAAAUUAGCUGAGCGUGAUGGUGCAUGCCUGUAAUCCCAGCUAUUUGGGAGGCUGAGGCAGGAGAAUCACUUGAACAUGGGAGGCAGAGGUUGCAGUGAGCCGAGAUCAUGCCACUGCAUUUCAGCCUGGGCGACAGAGUGAGACUCCAUCUCAAAAACAAAAACAAAAGAGCAAAAUGGCAGAUUAAAUACUUUUUAAUCAGUAAUCACAUUAAAUUUAAAUGGAUUAAACUCUUAAUAAAAGGCAGAGAUUUGCAAAUUGGAUUUAAAAACCUGUCCAUGUAUCUACUGUCUCCAAGAGAUUCACUUAGGGAAUACAAGGAGGUUGAAAGUAAAAGAAUGGAAAAUGUAUUUCAUGCAAAUAAUAGCCAAAAGAGAGCUGAGGUGGCUGUAUUAUUUUCAGACAAAAUAGAUGUUAAACCACAUGGUUUAUGAGAGACAAGGAUAGUUGGAGACUUCAGUAUCCUCCUCUCAAUAAUGAAUAGAACUAGACAGAAGAG